GUCAAUAACCUAACUCUGAAGAGAUGGGGUUGUCCGGUGCGGCAAACCCUGAAUGACCAGACUGAGUUCCUUCUACAGAAACUACGUUAUCACAGUUACGCUUCCCUCAGAUGCUUCCUUAGUCCGUUGCUCUAUGUGUGCAUGCACGACAAACAGAGGUAACAUUGUCGAAAGGAAACGGUUGAAAGUCG
rnacentral:sRNA from 1 species